rnacentral:rRNA from 1 species
GAUGAACGCUAGCGGCAGGCUUAAUACAUGCAAGUCGUGGGGCAGCAGGUUUGUAGCAAUACAGAUGCUGGCGACCGGCAAACGGGUGCGGAACACGUACAGAACCUUCCUUUGAGCGGGGAAUAGCCCAGAGAAAUUUGGAUUAAUACCCCAUAGUAUAAUGAAGUGGCAUCACUUUAUUAUUAAAGAUUUAUCACUCGAAGAUGGCUGUGCGGCUGAUUAGGUAGUUGGCGGGGUAAAGGCCCACCAAGCCUGCGAUCAGUAACUGGUGUGAGAGCACGACCAGUCACACGGGCACUGAGACACGGGCCCGACUCCUACGGGAGGCAGCAGUAAGGAAUAUUGGUCAAUGGAGGCAACUCUGAACCAGCCAUGCCGCGUGGAGGAUGAAGGUCCUCUGGAUUGUAAACUUCUUUUAUAUGGGACGAAAAAAGGCUUUUCUAAGUCGUCUGACGGUACCAUAUGAAUAAGCACCGGCUAACUCCGUGC